UCUGGCACCCGUGCCAUAGGUUCGCCACCACUGAACCUAGCCCAACACUGACCACUGUAGCUCUCACAUGGAUUUACACACACUAAUGAAUUUGCUGGUUAAAGUUGGCAAUUUUAUGUGCAUAACUGUCUUCUCUGUAAUUGGAAAAAAAUGUAUUUUGCUAAUAAAGAGUGAGAAGGACA